AAGGGAGACCUAAUUCAGGUAGGAGACGAAAAAAAGUAGUCCCUACCAAGAAUCAAUCCCAAAAGGUCGGAGCGAGGCAAAAUUGGCUUUCAAACUAGGUUCUGGGUUCACAUAAGACCUGAAUCAGGAACAAGGGUUAUUAGCUCAGGUGGUUAGAGCGCACCCCUGAUAAGGGUGAGGUCCCUGGUUCGAGUCCAGGAUGGCCCACCUGCACAGGUGGCAAAGACAAAGAAAAGAAGCUCCGAAUCAGCACCUUAUCUUACUCAUAUAGUAAGGGAGAAUGCUGGCUCUGAGUUCAGAGUCCAGAGGAACCUUGAAAACUGCAUAGAGCUAGGUGAAAAAGCCAAAAAAGAAGACCGCAA
rnacentral:tRNA from 1 species